UGGCAACACCAUUCAUCAUGUUCACUGUUAUACUGAUGUGCCUGUGGCUUUCAUUAAGUGGCAUGGCAGACCCAAUAAAGCCACUUUUCACACCUAAAGAGCGACAUGAAGGCGAUGAUGUUACUCUGUCCUGCAGCUACAGUGGUAAAGUAAGAAACUUUUUCUGGUACAGACAAAAUCCAAAAUCUAUCCCUGAGUUCCUUCUUUACAUCUUGCCAAAUGGAGAUAAAAGUAACCCUCAUCCACCGCGUCUGGAUGCUAAAGUUGAUGAUAAACAAGUGGAUCUGAUCAUCUCUGCUGCUGUGUCAGACUCUGCUCUAUACUACUGUGCACUGGAGGGGCAACAAAGUCAUAAAGUCUGA